rnacentral:tRNA from 1 species
GCAUAGCUUAGUGGUAAAGUACUUGCUCAGCAUGCAGAGAAUCCUGGUUCAAUCCCCAGUAACUGCA